rnacentral:lncRNA from 1 species
CUUUUAUCUACACUCAUCUCUCCCCACUGACAGGAAACUCAAGCUUUGGGAUGCUGGGGAAAUUCCCUGAACUCAUGGGGCAGUGUGGAAAGAAGAGGUUGGGGGAGGGGGGCCAGACAAUGGGAACUGGUGGGGAGGGUGGCCAGGAGGAGCUGCGUGCACCUCUACCGAGAGGGACGUUGUAACCCUGCUCCGCGGUGGAGGGAGCUGUGGCUCCAGCUAGAAGGGAGUAGCUAUUCAGCAGGAUUCAGCAGGGCCUCAUGGCCUGUGCCAGAGCGGGCUAGGGAUGCCGGCUUUUCUGAGGCACGCAGCCCUCUGGGAGAUGCUCCUCCUCUCCUUCUAGAGAGAAAAGGUGGAACCAAAGUAACAGGAGCCUUGAUUUGAGAAAAAUUUCUGAAAGUCAAUCCUUUCUAAUUAUUAUUACUAUUAAUCAGGAAAUGUUAUUCAUGUUUGAAUUGCUAUAAACUGAAAGUCCUUCCUGUCUUCCUUGCAGGCAGGUCAUUCUAGGUUUCUUGAAUGACUUUAUGAAUCUCUGGACUUCAACCAGCUUUGGAAGCCAAGAUAACAUGAUAACAAGAGACCCUUGUCUCUUGCCACUUGAAGUCAGUGGCCUGAAAGGACCACUGAAUUUUGUUAACUCCCCUACAGAUCACCUACUUUGAAAAUCCAUGCUUUUUCCAUUCAUUCUCUUCUCCAGAGGAAAUUGCUGUUCUGAUUUUUAGUUUUGCCUACUCUUGAACUUUUUAAAAACGGAAUCAUCCAAUGUGUACUCUUUUAUGCCUGGCUUUUUUUUGCUCAACUUAAUGUCUGUGAGAUUCACACAUGUUAUUGUGAAUAUUAGUAGUAUACUUUGUAUUCAAUUAAAUAUUCAUUGAAUAAUUCAAAUUAAGCAUUCAAUUGUAGAAAUAUAUGCAGGUUUAUUUAUUCAUUCAUCUGUUGUUGGACAGUUGGGUCAUUUUCAAUAGUUUGACUAUUAUGAAGUGGCUGUAAACAUUAUUAUAUAAGUCUUUUUGCACAUCAUAGGAAAAGAUUGCCAUAAAAUUAUUGUCACUCUUCCUAUUGAGAUGUGGCACCUAUGUUUCAUACCCGUGAAUCUGAACUGGCCCUGUGGCUGGUUUUGAUCAAUAUAAUUUGGCAGAACUGAUGCUGUGUAACUUGUGCAAGGAUAUCUACAGCUUCCACCUUGGUCUUUUGGAAUGAUUCUUCUUGGAACCCAACCCCUGUGCUUUGAGAAGCCUGAGCUAUGUGUAGAGGCCGUAUGGAAGAGAACCAAGGCACUCCAGCUGAUGGGCCUCACUGGGCUCCCAGCUGAGAGCCAGCACCAACCUGCAACCGUGUAAGCAAUCGUCUUGUACUUUCCAACCUAGUCAAAUUUCAGAUGUCUGCAACUCCAGCCACAUGGAGCAAAAGAUUCACAGAGAUGAGUCCAGUCCCCUAUCAACCCAGAUAAUCCUGAGACAAUAAAUAGCUAUUGUUUUAACCCACUAAGUUUUGAGAUAAUUUUUUACACAGAAACAAUCAAAUUAUUUAUUUUCACUUCUUCAGGAUAAGUAUUAGGAAUAGAACUGCUGGACCAUAUAAUACGUGUGUAUUAAUCUUUAUAGAAAAUUACCAAAUUAUUACCAGAGGUAGUUUUACCUUUUCAUACUCCUACUAGCAAAGUAAGAGUGCCCUGGUUUCUCCAUAUCCUCGUCAUAACUGUUUUUAAAUUUUUAGCUACUGGCAGUUAUUCAUGCUAUCCCAUUGGGUUUUUAAUUUUUAUUUCAUGAUUACUAAUAAUGUUGAAAACUUUUCCUUGUGUUUAAUUAUCAUUUGUAAAUUUUCCUUUGUGAAAUCUAUUUACAAAUCUUUUGUCUAUUUUGUUGUAAAUUGAGUUUUUGCCAUUUUAUAUUUGUCGGAGUUAAUUGUAUAUUGUAG